rnacentral:sRNA from 1 species
CGUAAACGCACACUUUUGGCCAAGAAGAAAGUGCAGAACAUUACAAAGGAGGAUGUUAAAAGUUACCUGUUUCGGAAUGCUUUUGUGCUGCUCACAGUCACCGCUGUCAUUGUGGGUACAAUCCUUGGAUUUACCCUCCGACCAUACAGAAUGAGCUACCGGGAAGUCAAGUACUUCUCCUUUCCUGGGGAACUUCUGAUGAGGAUGUUACAGAUGCUGGUCUUACCACUUAUCAUCUCCAGUCUUGUCACAGAUAACAUCUGGUUGGACAGCCUAUUAGCUAUUGAUGCAAGAAUGCUUGUUCUCAGAACCACCAGGACUUGAGCGGGAGCCUUCUUGGAAGCCUCAUCAAGAGCACAUCUCUGACUUGGAGAAGGAAUUUCCAUAGACACUGCCCGAGCAGGAUGAUUUCUG